UACGUAGGGGGCAAGCGUUGUCCGGAAUCAUUGGGCGUAAAGAGCGCGUAGGCGGCCCAGUAAGUCCGCUCUGAAAGUCAGGGGCUCAACCCCUGAAUGCGGGUGGAUACUGCUGGGCUAGAGUCCGGAAGAGGCGAGUGGAAUUCCUGGUGUAGCGGUGAAAUGCGCAGAUAUCAGGAAGAACACCCGUGGCGAAGGCGGCUCUCUGGGACGGUACUGACGCUGAGACGCGAAAAGCGUGGGGAGC
rnacentral:rRNA from 1 species